rnacentral:rRNA from 1 species
CCUGAUGCAGCGACGCCGCGUGAGGGACGACGGCCUUCGGGUUGUAAACCUCUUUCAGCAGGGACGAAGCGCAAGUGACGGUACCUGCAGAAGAAGCACCGGCUAACUACGUGCCAGCAGCCGCGGUAAUACGUAGGGUGCAAGCGUUGUCCGGAAUUACUGGGCGUAAAGAGUUCGUAGGCGGUUUGUCACGUCGUUUGUGAAAACUCACAGCUCAACUGUGAGCCUGCAGGCGAUACGGGCAGACUUGAGUACUGCAGGGGAGACUGGAAUUCCUGGUGUAGCGGUGAAAUGCGCAGAUAUCAGGAGGAACACCGGUGGCGAAGGCGGGUCUCUGGGCAGUAACUGACGCUGAGGAACGAAAGCGUGGGUAGCGAACAGGAUUAGAUACCCUGGUAGUCCACGCCGUAAACGGUGGGCGCUAGGUGUGGGUUCCUUCCACGGAAUCCGUGCCGUAGCUAACGCAUUAAGCGCCCCGCCUGGGGAGUACGGCCGCAAGGCUA